rnacentral:lncRNA from 1 species
AGUAUUCAUGCGAGGCUAACCCAUAAAAAGCUCAACCUCACAAUCCUUCUCAAGAAGUACAUGAAGAAAAACGCUCUCCAGCCUGUUCUAGAAGAGCUAGUACACGAAGAGAAGCCAUAGAAAAUCUCUCGCAAGCUCAGUCAAUCGAUACGCCGCUAAGGCAAGAAAACUGAGAAGAUCAACCCCCAGAGUCAAUGAGGAGGUCGAUCAG